GACGAACGCUGGCGGCGUGCUUAACACAUGCAAGUCGAACGGAAAGGCCCUGCUUUUGUGGGGUGCUCGAGUGGCGAACGGGUGAGUAACACGUGAGUCACCUGCCCUUGACUUUGGGAUAACUUCAGGCAACUGGGGCUACUACCGGAUAGGAGCUCCUGCUGCAUGGUGGGGGUUGGACAGUUUCGGCGGUUGGGGAUGGACUCGCGGCUUAUCAGCUUGUUGGUGGGGUAGUGGCUUACCAAGGCUUUGACGGGUAGCCGGCCUGAGAGGGUGAACGGCGACAUUGGGACUGAGAUACGGCCCAGACGGGUACGGGAGGCAGCGGUGGGGAAUAUGGCACAAUGGGGGGAAGCCUGAUGCAGCAACGCCGGGUGCGGGAUGACGGCCUUCGGGUUGGAAACCGCUUUCGCCUGAGACGAAGCGGGAGUGACGGUAAUGGGUAAAGAAGCACCGGCUAACUACGUG
rnacentral:rRNA from 1 species